AUUAUUUACAUUUCGAGUGGGAACAUAAAUAUCUUUAGAAAUAGACAAAACAAUAUGCCCCUUUUUAUUGUUCAGUCUAACUCACCUUCAUAAAAGUCAACGCAUUGAAAUAUCAAUCAAUCCAGCAAUUGCUUUUUGUUAUGUGCUGCAGUAUGGAUCCUCAGGGACUCCAGACCGUGUGAGCAACUAACAGGAAACAACACCAGAUGUGCUGUAUCAGCCAUUGAUUUUCGUCCCUGAUGAAUUCAGUAAAAGCAGUUUGAAAGCUCCUGCCUUAAAAACUCUGAAGCAGCCUGGGGUUUGGAUGUGGAUCAGGGAGUCACAACCACGCUGUAAAGCCAAACAGCUAACCUGCGACACUGCUGGGCACAGACUGAGCUGAAGUCACCGAGUAUACCAGCAGCUGCAGAUCCCACUGAGCAGCGCUGACGGGAUGGGAUGGAGCCCAGGCCACCUGCUGGCCUGAGAUGCAAGGUUCCCUCUGGCUCGCCGACUCCAAGAUCCCUUGCCACCUGUGCUCCUGCCGCCGUUCUCCGCCAUCUGAUAAGCACUCUCUGGGCCCUGACACUGACCUGAACUGGACCUGGGUUAAGCCCAAGUCACCCCGUCCUUCUGGGAAGGCUCUGUGGAGUCUCCCACAUUUCUCUCCAGCUGCCUUCACCUCUCCCUUGCUCCGUGGUCUUGAGGGCUCAGCCUUCCAGCCCCCAUUCAUUAAAGUUCAUGAUUUUCAAUCGCAAAGAAAUGGCUACUUUACCAGAAAAAGCAGUCAGUUUGCUUAGGUAUUUUUCCAGAGACAAAAUGGAAGUUAAAUGAAAGGAAUAAAGUAUCGCAUUCCACCUAAGCCAGUGGGUAGCUUUACUUGAAAAACUGCCCGAAUGUCCCUGUUUUGUCGUUGAGUGAACAGAGGAGCGGAUGUGAGCAUUUUUCAGCAGAGAUGUGCUGCUUUGCAGGGAACAGGCAAUACGGAUGCAUGUAAAAUUCUUGCUUGAGGAUUAAGAGUCCAAAUGUGUUUUAAGAACUGGCUAUGCAAAAUCUCAGAUAUAACUGAUAAACUGUUGUAAUCUGGUUGGCAUAUGGUCCUGCCUGUACCACACUUUUUCUUUCCCUAAAACACAAUUUGGCUUUCUACUUGUUGAACAAACAGAUAUGGCAAAUAAAAGAAGGACAAAUGUUAUUGAUUUUUUUUUCCUGAGA
rnacentral:lncRNA from 1 species